GUGCUCACUUCGGCAGCACAUAUACUACAAUUGGAAUGAUACAGAGAAGAUUAUCAUGGCCCCUCAGCAAAGAAGACACAUAAAUCUGUGAAGCAUUUCAUAUUUUU
ensembl:snRNA U6 U6 spliceosomal RNA